GUUAAGCGACUAAGCGUACACGGUGGAUGCCCUGGCAGUCAGAGGCGAUGAAGGACGUGCUAAUCUGCGAUAAGCGUCGGUAAGGUGAUAUGAACCGUUAUAACCGGCGAUUUCCGAAUGGGGAAACCCAGUGUGUUUCGACACACUAUCAUUAACUGAAUCCAUAGGUUAAUGAGGCGAACCGGGGGAACUGAAACAUCUAAGUACCCCGAGGAAAAGAAAUCAACCGAGAUUCCCCCAGUAGCGGCGAGCGAACGGGGAGCAGCCCAGAGCCUGAAUCAGUGUGUGUGUUAGUGGAAGCGUCUGGAAAGGCGCGCGAUACAGGGUGACAGCCCCGUACACAAAAAUGCACAUGCUGUGAGCUCGAUGAGUAGGGCGGGACACGUGGUAUCCUGUCUGAAUAUGGGGGGACCAUCCUCCAAGGCUAAAUACUCCUGACUGACCGAUAGUGAACCAGUACCGUGAGGGAAAGGCGAAAAGAACCCCGGCGAGGGGAGUGAAAAAGAACCUGAAACCGUGUACGUACAAGCAGUGGGAGCACGCUUAGGCGUGUGACUGCGUACCUUUUGUAUAAUGGGUCAGCGACUUAUAUUCUGUAGCAAGGUUAACCGAAUAGGGGAGCCGAAGGGAAACCGAGUCUUAACUGGGCGUUAAGUUGCAGGGUAUAGACCCGAAACCCGGUGAUCUAGCCAUGGGCAGGUUGAAGGUUGGGUAACACUAACUGGAGGACCGAACCGACUAAUGUUGAAAAAUUAGCGGAUGACUUGUGGCUGGGGGUGAAAGGCCAAUCAAACCGGGAGAUAGCUGGUUCUCCCCGAAAGCUAUUUAGGUAGCGCCUCGUGAAUUCAUCUCCGGGGGUAGAGCACUGUUUCGGCAAGGGGGUCAUCCCGACUUACCAACCCGAUGCAAACUGCGAAUACCGGAGAAUGUUAUCACGGGAGACACACGGCGGGUGCUAACGUCCGUCGUGAAGAGGGAAACAACCCAGACCGCCAGCUAAGGUCCCAAAGUCAUGGUUAAGUGGGAAACGAUGUGGGAAGGCCCAGACAGCCAGGAUGUUGGCUUAGAAGCAGCCAUCAUUUAAAGAAAGCGUAAUAGCUCACUGGUCGAGUCGGCCUGCGCGGAAGAUGUAACGGGGCUAAACCAUGCACCGAAGCUGCGGCAGCGACGCUGAUGCGUUGUUGGGUAGGGGAGCGUUCUGUAAGCCUGCGAAGGUGUGCUGUGAGGCAUGCUGGAGGUAUCAGAAGUGCGAAUGCUGACAUAAGUAACGAUAAAGCGGGUGAAAAGCCCGCUCGCCGGAAGACCAAGGGUUCCUGUCCAACGUUAAUCGGGGCAGGGUGAGUCGACCCCUAAGGCGAGGCCGAAAGGCGUAGUCGAUGGGAAACAGGUUAAUAUUCCUGUACUUGGUGUUACUGCGAAGGGGGGACGGAGAAGGCUAUGUUGGCCGGGCGGCGGUUGUCCCGGUUUAAGCGUGUAGGCUGGUUUUCCAGGCAAAUCCGGAAAAUCAAGGCUGAGGCGUGAUGACGAGGCACUACGGUGCUGAAGCAACAAAUGCCCUGCUUCCAGGAAAAGCCUCUAAGCAUCAGGUAACAUCAAAUCGUACCCCAAACCGACACAGGUGGUCAGGUAGAGAAUACCAAGGCGCUUGAGAGAACUCGGGUGAAGGAACUAGGCAAAAUGGUGCCGUAACUUCGGGAGAAGGCACGCUGAUAUGUAGGUGAAGCGACUUGCUC
rnacentral:rRNA from 1 species